UGCAUUUUGCAGCGAACCUCACGCCCCUAAUUAUCUACCACCCGGAUUUUUUUGGAAUUUUUUGAAUUUUUCUAGUAUUUUUAUUUGAUUUUUUUCCGUGAGCGCGGGUGCAGAUGAGCCCGGUGCAGAUUCACCGCACUCGCUUUCGCCCCGCUUUAUAUAUAAAGCAAAGAUCAACAACAUCCCAGUACAGACGCACUCCACCCCAACACACACACACACACCCAAGGCGGGAUACAAAGGCGCUGAGCGCAGCAACACGACCCCUAGCACUACAAGAGCAACCGGGGGCUCCACAAGUGAACACGCCACCGUGAAGAGAUGAAGCCGUAUAUGACGAGUCGUGGGCUUCAAGACGGUGCCUUCAGGAAGGUUACGACAACGGAGCGCCGCCACCGCCCGAUCCGAGGAUCAAAGUUUCCCUAGGAGCCACACGAAGACAAUUAGAGCCGCGACGACGCCUUCAGGAAGGGAACUACGCCAUCGUCGGUCCGUCCGAAGACAGAGCAGGUUUUCACCCCGGACAAUACUCACCGCACGAACGCCGCACCCCGACAACCACGCUGCCCACACGGCCAUGGCCACCGGGCAACACCAAGCGACAGGCUCUGCCCAAGAGCACCGCGCAACCACCACCAGGGCCGCCGCCCCGGCAUCCGAGGCCUAGAUACCACCUCACCCGACACCCGCCACUACCCCAAUUGAAGAGACGAUCGGAACCAGGGCAAGCCUCCAUCGAUUCGUCCUGCAGCACCGGGCGCGAGACGAGCUAGGUCCUGCUGCCGGGCGCGAGACGAGCGCGGUCCUGCUACUGGGCGCGAGACGAGCACAAUCCUGCUGCCGGGCGUGAGACGAGCUCGGUCCUGCUGCCCGAGCGCGAGACUAGUGAUGAGCUGCAGCAUGGAGAGGGUCAUCCUUCAACGGAAAUAGCACCCGGACGACGAGGAGAUAGAUCAAGGGCUGUCACAAGCCGCCUACGGACGAGCUGACGCCGGUAUAAGCCAGCCGCCGCCGCAGCCGACUUGCCAAGGCACCGUGGAGCCAUCCACGGCCAGAGCAGCAGCCGCCCCGGCCACUGCCCAACCCGCGCCGUCCGACGAGCUCCAGGCGUUGGAGCCGCCGGGCACGCACCCGCGCAUCCAGCCGCCCCCAAGCACCCACCCUCGAGCAUCACCCCAACGCCGAAAGGACGGAAAGGCCCCAUCUUGAGCUGGAGACCCCCGACCUCCCACAAUCCAGCCCGCAAUGGGCCCCUUGCAGCACCGCCAGCCACCAGGAAAGCUGGAUCCGGCGCCCAUCCAGCUAGAUCGGAGCGAAAGCCGAGGGGUGAGGAGUCAGAGACGGCGGAGGGAGGGAGCCGCCGCCCGCCACCGCCAGCCGCGGCCCGCCGCCUUGCGCACGCCGGCGCGCCGCCUCGCGCCCCGCCGCCGCACGCCGCACGCCGAAGCCCAGCCGCGCCACCACUCGCCGAGGCCCGUAGCCACGCGCCCGACCGCGCGCACUCCGGGACACCGCCGGCCGCCGCCCAAAUCCGCCGCCCGCAGACACAGGGGAGCCGCGAGAAGACCUCCCGCCGCCGCUGUCUGCCGCGGGCUUCGCCCAACGGUGUCCUUCGGUGGCGGCGCGCUAGGGUUGGGAGCCCCCGAGUCGCCCUGGGCAGGGGCGACGCGAGGGAGGUGUUUCAAACUUCAGGUAGUACAACAUUCGCCAUUUGUACAUAGAGAAUAAAAGAUCACUUUAAUAUGUCUUUUUGUCAACCACGGUAACUGGUGCACGUUGAGUACAUGAAGACCAACGGGUGGAACUGGGAUAAGUGGUUUCAAGCAGAGCAACAUCCCAGAGUUCUCCUUGGAGGCGACCACCUUGUAGGAUCGAACCAGUGUCAGUUCAGGAUUUCAGGUCAGUUUGGCUGGUCGUUGGCUCGUUGCUGGGUAAAUUCUUCUCCUUGGUAGUGAAAACUAUGUGAGGAUAAACGAAUAGUUGUCACUGGGAUUGGAUGUGCAUUCUGCAUUGCAAAUUUUUUAUGGUGGUUCCUGCAUUGCACUUAAUUGUUGUGUAGACUCGAUUUUGUCAUGUUUCAUUCAAUAGCCAUGAUAUGAGACCGAGGACAAUAUAAAUAUAUCCAAUGUGAAUAACUAUGAAAAAUUUAGUUGUGCCUUAUCUAUACUGGUAGAGAUAUGAUACUGCCAUGCAUGCUGGCUGACUUUCCCGAUGAUGUUGUCUGAGUUCUAAUAGUCCAAGUCUCCGUAUAUGUUUCAGAACAUUAAUGAUCUUGAAGAUUAUGACUUAAGUAGGAAAUUUAGAGGCAAAAGUAUACAAAUACAGUCAGUAGAUCAAUAAUUACACUUUAUUGAAAAAAUAUUAGUUUCAGUUUGAUUUCCGUUUAUGCAUCAUCAUGCACUGAAAUUUUCGUUGUCAUUUUGCGAAAAACAUAAAUGUGUACAUGUAUGUUCCUUCCGUCAUGCUAAAUUAUACAGAGUUGGAAUUAUUUGUUGUGAUAGAGCAACGACUAUAGAUGUAACUAUUAGAUGUACUGAAAAAUGUGAAGAGCAUAUAAUAGCUUAGGCCCCUAAUCUAUCCCCCUUCUGUUUUGAUUUGAUCAUUCAUCUAAGCACAAAUUCAGUUUCAGUAACUAAAGGUAUAUGUAAGUUUACAUUUAUACAUUCUUCACUUUCUGACCCAUAUUUGUAUGAAGGGCGUGUGUCAUACACAGCUGAAACUAUCCAUAUUGUAAUGACUCUCCAAGCAUAUGAUCUGACCAAAGCUUACUAUGUUAAUUCUAAUUCUAAUUGUAAUGUUGCAUACCAGAUAAGGGACACCAAUAGUUGGGUUGUAACUUGAACAUCUGAUCUGAUCAUCUUGGCAUCUCGGCCUCAUAUGUGAACGGAAUUGGAUGUGUUGAGGUAAAGAAGUAGAUGUAGGUAUUGGGAGGUAAUAUUAGCAAGGUGGCAUGACCAAGGAGUCAGACAGAAAAUGCUUUAUAAAUCAAUGCAAACAACAUGCUGCAAUUUGGUAACGUUGUAGAAAUGUCAAGUGGUACUCCCACCGAUCCAAAAUAAGACGACACCUAUUUUGGAUCGGAGGGAUUGCGUAUGAUUUUUCCAAGAAAACUUGAUCCUUUUAAUCUUAGAAAUCAGCUGAAUGGUUACUAUUGCAACACUUAAAUCACUUAAAUUUCAUUCAUAUAAUUUUGGUAUUUAUUGUUCCUUGCUUCUUGACCUAUCAAUUAAUACCCUCCCCCUAAUUUUUGUUGUUGCAAAUAGCAACCACUUGAUUUUAAAAAAUUAUGCAGCUGCCUAUCUGAAAAUAAACAGUGAUCUAGCUUUUGAGGUUUUCAUGCAAUCUAAUAAAAUAUUAACAUUAUUUAGACAAAGUAAAAGUUACUUCUUUACUGAAAUAUGUUUUAUCGUGGUUGCAGGAUUUGUCUGUCAUUUGCCCAACCGUGUUCAGUAGACAAUCAUCGAGAAUGAUUGUACCUGGAGAAGAAGACGACCAUUGACAACAGAGAAGAGGAGGUGAAGAGUAUGAACCUGGACAAGAAGACGACCAAUAAGAAGAAGAUGAUGAUUUUCCGGCUGCCACAAGAGGAGCUGGAUUAUUACCUUACCUUUCAAGUGAGACCCAUUUGGCAAAGUCUGGCUCUACGGGAUCCUUCCACCGCUGCUAAGGUGGAGGCAAUCAACCAACGAAUUCUGAUUGAGCAGGAGAAGAUGAGACAAGAGUACGAGGCCAAAGGCUAUGUCACGUUCGAAGCAGAGGUCACCGACGACGACGAGGAGGUAGAAGACGCAGCAGCUCUUUGUGUCACUGCACAAGAAGAGGAGAAAAAUUAUGAAGCAGCAGCUCCUUGGAUUCCACAAGGAAGAGGCCGAAGGAGAUUUCGCCCGAGAGUCGUCAAGCAAGCAGGCCGCGUUAAGAAAAUAAUAAUUUAGGCUAUUCAAGCAAGCAACAUUGGAGUAAUAUUAGUUGGUCAUUGGCCAAUUUCAUUGUGAUUUAACAACCGGAAUCUCUGUAUCGAUUAUGUUGGUGCUGUUGCAAAUUCAGUUUAAAGCCGUUUAUUGUUUUAA